rnacentral:rRNA from 1 species
CAAUAGCGUAUAUUUAAGUUGUUGCAGUUAAAAAGCUCGUAGUUGGAUUUUGGGUCGGGGGCACCGGUCCGCCGUUCCGGUGUGCACUGGUGGCCCCUUCCUUUCUGCCGGGGACGUGCGUCGCACUUAAUUGGGUGGCGUUCGGAGUCGGCGUUGUUACUUUGAAAAAAUUAGAGUGUUCAAAGCAAGCCAUCGCUCUGAAUACAUUAGCAUGGAAUAACACGAUAGGACUCCGGUCUUAUUUUGUUGGUUUCCGAGACUGGAGUAAUGAUUAAGAGGGACAGUCGGGGGCAUCCGUAUUUCAUUGUCAGAGGUGAAAUUCUUGGAUUUAUGAAAGACGAACUUCUGCGAAAGCAUUUGCCAAGGAUGUUUUCAUUAA